rnacentral:rRNA from 1 species
GACGAACCGUGCGAACGUUAUUCGGAAUCACUGGGCUUAAAGCGCGUGUAGGCGGGCCGGCACGUCCGUGGCUGAAAGCCCCCGGCUCAACCGGGGAAGGGGCGCGGAUACGACCGGCCUGGAGGGGGGUAGGGGGACCUAGAACUUUCGGUGGAGCGGUGAAAUGCGUUGAGAUCGGAAGGAACGCCCGUGGCGAAAGCGAGGUCCUGGACCCUUUCUGACGCUGAGACGCGAAAGCCAGGGGAGCGAACGGG